AAUACUAACUAGAGUGAAAUCAGUUUUGUUCAUUACUCACUUGAAAAUUCAUUUGAAAAAACAUUUUGGGUUGCACAGCAAUUUCAAUGGGUCCCUCAUGAAGAGCCACUGCAGAGCAAGAGAUGCUGCUAAAUGCAAGAGGCCAGCGUGUACAAACAGAGAUGUCCAUGCCCGGUACAGUUGGUCGGGACGCCGUCUUCGCAUAAACGUGGGGCUUAUAAACGAUCACCUGCGAUAGCUGAACAAAUUUGUAUACUUUGGUGCGAUCAAGACGUAAAGUAUUUCUUCAAAUGCUGCUAUCGCUCUUGCUAUUCUCGCGUCCCUUCGCAUGCAUGGUGCAAACUUAGCUCCUAAAUGUAUGAGAUCCGCCGCCCGUGGUCCCAACCAAAAUGAAGCCGGUUCUUCCCAUUCAACCUAGAAUGAAUAUACACAACAUUUAACAAG